UACAGAGGGUGCGAGCGUUAAUCGGAAUUAUUGGGCGUAAAGCGCGUGUAGGCGGCUUUGCAAGUCGGGUGUGAAAGCCCUCGGCUCAACCGAGGAAGUGCGCCCGAAACUGCAGAGCUUGAGUACCGGAGAGGGUGGCGGAAUUCCCCAAGUAGAGGUGAAAUUCGUAGAUAUGGGGAGGAACACCGGUGGCGAAGGCGGCCACCUGGACGGAUACUGACGCUGAGACGCGAAAGCGUGGGGAGCAAACAGG
rnacentral:rRNA from 1 species